AGUGAACGCUGGCGGUAGGCCUAACACAUGCAAGUCGAACGGCAGCACCGUAAUUGCUUGCUCUUACGUUUUGCGAGUGGCGUACGGGUGAUGAAUACAUCGGAAUCUACUUUUUCGUGGGGGAUAACGUAUGGAAACUUACGCUAAUACCGCAUCCGACCUUCGGGUGAAAGCAUGGGAUCUUCUGACCUUGUGCGUUUGAAUGAGCCUAUUUCGGAUUAGCUAGUUGGCGGGGUAAAUGCCCACCAAGGCGAAGAUCCGUAGCUGGUCUGAGAGGAUGAUCAGCCACACGGGAACUGAGAAACGGUCAAGACUCCUACGGGAGGCAGCAGUGGGGAAUAUUGGACAAUGGGCGCAAGCAUGAUACAGCAAUACCGCGUGGGUGAAGAAGGCCUUCGGGUUGUAAAGCCCUUUUGUUGGGAAAGAAAAGCAGCAGGUUAAUACCCCGCUGUUCUGACGGUACCCAAAGAAUAAGCACCGGCUAACUUCGUG
rnacentral:rRNA from 1 species